UUGGAGGGCAAGUCUGGUGCCAGCAGCCGCGGUAAUUCCAGCUCCAAUAGCGUAUAUUAAAGUUGUUGCAGUUAAAAAGCUCGUAGUUGAAUUUCGGGGUCAGUAGGUCGGUCGUGCCACUGGUAUGAACUGGUUUUACUGAUUCCUCCCUCUUGAAGAACUGUAAUGCCAUUAAUUUGGUGUUGCAGGGAAUCAGGACUGUUACUUUGAAAAAAUUAGAGUGUUUAAAGCAGGCUUUAGCUUGAAUACAUUAGCAUGGAAUAAUGAAAUAGGACGUUUGAUCCUAUUUUGUUGGUUUCUAGGAUUGACGUAAUGAUUAAUAGGGAUAGUUGGGGGCAUUAGUAUUCAAUUGUCAGAGGUGAAAUUCUUGGAUUUAUUGAAGACUAACUACUGCGAAAGCAUUUGCCGAGGAUGUCUUCAUUAAUCAAGAACGAAAGUUAGGGGAUCGAAGACGAUCAGAUACCGUCGUAGUCUUAACCAUAAACUAUGCCGACUAGGGAUCGGAUGAUGUUAAUUUUUUAAUGACUCAUUCGGCGCCUUACGGGAAAC
rnacentral:rRNA from 1 species